UACGGAGGGUGCAAACGUUGCUCGGAAUCAUUGGGCGUAAAGCGCACGUAGGCGGUCUCGAAAGUCGGGCGUGAAAUCCCUCGGCUUAACCAAGGAAGUGCACUCGAAACUUCGAGACUUGAAUACUGGAGAGGGUCGCAGAAUUCUCGGUGUAGAGGAGAAAUUCGUAGAUAUCGGGAGGAAUACCAGUGGCGAAGGCGGCGACCUGGUCAGAUAUUGACGCUGAGGUGCGAAAGCGUGGGGAGCAAACAGG
rnacentral:rRNA from 1 species